rnacentral:rRNA from 1 species
GUCGAGAAUAAUUCACAAUGGACGAAAGUCUGAUGGUGCAACGCCGCGUGGAGGAUGAAGGUCUUCGGAUUGUAAACUCCUGUCAUCGGGGAGUAAGACCUGGCGGUAAAUAGCCGACAGGGUUGAUAGUACCCGAAGAGGAAGGGACGGCUAACUUCGUGCCAGCAGCCGCGGUAAUACGAAGGUCCCAAGCGUUGUUCGGAAUCACUGGGCGUAAAGGGAGCGUAGGCGGCGUGGUAAGUCAGAUGUGAAAUCCCGGGGCUCAACCCCGGAACUGCGUCCGAUACUGCCAUGCUUGAGGGUUGGAGAGGUAGCUGGAAUUCUCGGUGUAGCAGUGAAAUGCGUGGAUAUCGAGAGGAACACUCGUGGCGAAGGCGAGCUACUGGACAACAUCUGACGCUGAGGCUCGAAGGCCAGGGGAGCAAAAGGGAUUAGAAACCCCAGUAGUCC